UACGUAGGGAGCAAGCGUUGUCCGGAAUCAUUGGGCGUAAAGCGCGCGUAGGUGGCCCCAUAAGUCCGCUGUGAAAGUCAAAGGCUCAACCUUUGAAAGCCGGUGGAUACUGUGGGACUAGAGUACGGAAGAGGCGAGUGGAAUUCCCGGUGUAGCGGUGAAAUGCGCAGAUAUCGGGAAGAACACCCGUGGCGAAGGCGGCACUCUGGGACGGUACUGACGCUGAGACGCGAAAGCGUGGGGAGCGAACAGG
rnacentral:rRNA from 1 species